GGUAAGUUACCCAAGUUGGUGAAGGGGACAGUUUGCUAAACUGUUAGGUUCAUAAUUGUGGACGCAAGGGUUCGAGUCCCUUACUUACCG
rnacentral:tRNA from 1 species